UGGAUACCCUAUCUACUGAAAUUGGAAAAAUACAGAGAUUAGCAUGGUCCCUGAGAAAGGAUGAAAUGCAAGUUUGCAACGUGUAGUGUGCCCUGAAUUU
ensembl:snRNA LOC120094425 U6 spliceosomal RNA